rnacentral:lncRNA from 1 species
AAGCAACCCGUUUGGAUGAAGGAUUUUAUAAUUGGAUAGGCCCAUGAAGUUUAGGAAUGUCUGCCAUUAUUAUGUUGUUUUAUUUUAGUUGUUUUAUUUUACAAUUAAACUGUAAGGCCCAUGGCCAUCUUAUGCCCUUAAAAGGGACCAACACUAUGAAUGAAGACAAAGAAGUUUUUGGUUAGCCCUAGUUUUAGCAUCACA